rnacentral:rRNA from 1 species
AUUGAACGCUGGCGGCAUGCCUUACACAUGCAAGUCGAACGGCAGCACGGGAGCAAUCCUGGUGGCGAGUGGCGAACGGGUGAGUAAUAUAUCGGAACGUGCCCAGUCGUGGGGGAUAACGCAGCGAAAGCUGUGCUAAUACCGCAUACGAUCUGAGGUAGAAAGUGGGGGACCUUCGGGCCUCACGCUAUUCGAGCGGCCGACGUCGGAUUAGCUAGUUGGGGAGGUAAAGGCUCACCAAGGCGACGAUCAGUAGCGGGUCUGAGAGGAUGAUCCGCCACACUGGGACUGAGACACGGCCCAGACUCCUACGGGAGGCAGCAGUGGGGAAUUUUGGACAAUGGGCGCAAGCCUGAUCCAGCCAUGCCGCGUGUCUGAAGAAGGCCUUCGGGUUGUAAAGGACUUUUGUCCGGGAGCAAAUGCUGGUGGCUAACAUCCACCGGAGCUGAGAGUACCGGAAGAAUAAGCACCGGCUAACUACGUGCCAGCCGCCGCAGUAACAC